rnacentral:rRNA from 1 species
UACGUGGGGUGCUAGAGUUGUCCGGAUUUACUGGGUGUAAAGGGUGCUCAGGUGGGUUUGUAAGUCAGAGGUGAAAUCCCAAAGCUUAACUUUGGUGCUGCCUUUGAUACUGCAAGUCUAGAGUUUGAGAGAGGGUAAUGGAAUAUCUGGUGUAGCAGUGAAAUGCGUAGAUAUCAGAUAGAACACCAAGGGUGAAGGCAGUUACCUGGCUCAAAACUGACACUAAAGCACGAAAGUGUGGGGAGCAAACAGG